rnacentral:rRNA from 1 species
ACGGCUCAGUAACACGUGGCUAAUCUGCCCUUAGGACGAGAACAACCCCGGGAAACUGGGGCUAACUCUUGAUAGGUGAAGAACUCUGGAAUGAGUCUUUGCCUAAAAAAGAUUCGCGUUACCCUCGUGAACCUGCCUAAGGAUGAGGCCGCGACCGAUCAGGUUGUUGGCGAGGUAAUGGCUCACCAAGCCUUUUACCGGUGCGGGCCGUGGGAGCGGGAGCCCGGAGAUGGGUACUGAGACAAGGACCCAGGCCCUACGGGGCGCAGCAGUCGCGAAACCUUUGCAAUACACGAAAGUGUGACAGGGCUAUCCCGAGUGCCAUCCGCUGAGGAAGGCUUUUACCCAGUCUAGAACGCUGGGGGAAUAAGGAGAGGGCAAGUCUGGUGUCAGCCGCCGCGGUAAUACCAGCUCUCCGAGUGGUGUGGAUGUUUAUUGGGCCUAAAGCAUCCGUAGCUGGCUAGGUAAGUCCCUUGUUAAAUCCACCGAAUUAAUCGUUGGAUCGCGGGGGAUACUGCUUGGCUAGGGGACGAGAGAGGCAGACGGUAUUUUCGGGGCAGGGGUGAAAUCCUAUAAUCCCGGGAAGACCACCAGUGGCGAAGGCUGUCUGCUAGAACGCGCCCGACGGUGAGGGAUGAAAGCUGGGGGAGCGAACCGGAUUAGAUACCCGGGUAGUCCCAGCUGUAAACGAUGCAGACUAGGUGUUUGGACGGCCACGUGCCGUUCUAGUGCCGCAGGGAAGCUGUUAAGUCUGCCGCCUGGGGAGUACGAUCGCAAGAUUGAAACUUAAAGGAAUUGGCGGGGGAGCAC